rnacentral:lncRNA from 1 species
GCGAUGGAAAACACGGAGCGCGAAGGUAGCGAUGAGGGUGAUUUGGUGAAUCGCUCAACAAAGAAAGUAUGAAUUCAAGGAACAGAGAAAGAUCGAGACGUUGUAAUGGAUGCAGCGCCAGUCACUGAAAAUGUCCUUUCAUGGAAAGACCGUCUGGUAGGUACGUGACUUCGAGCUGAUGAAAGAACAACAACAUUGGAUGAGUUGGAUAGAGAAGAAGAUUUUGAACUAUUGAAAGAGGAUGUUGAGCGCUCGCCGGUCAACGGUAUUCCUUCGAUUAAUUUUUCUAAACUCGUAAACCAAAUCAUUAUCAAACAUAUGGAGCAUACAGUAGUAAUCAAACUCUUGGGAAGAAGUAUAGGGUACUCUACACUUCAGAACAAUGUUUUUUCACUCGGGAAACUAUCUCAACCGUUUCAUUUAAUGGAUGUGGAGAAAGGUUAUUUUUUAGCUAAAUUUAAGAACUCGGAGGUUUAUGAAAAGGUUUUGUGUCAUGGUCACUGGGUUGUGUUUAGGCAGUACUUAAAAGUACAGCCGUGGACCAUGGAUUUUAAUCCAAUUCAGUCGUAUCCAAGCUCUAUUAUGGCAUAGAUCCGACUUCCCGGGCUACUUGGACAUAUGUAUAAGCGAAAAAUCUUACGAGAAAUAAGGGGGAUAAUCAGGAAAGUUGCAAAACUGGAUUUCAAUAUGGAUAACGGCGUUAGGGGGAGGUUUGCAAGAAUGAUAGUGUUCGUAAAUUUAGAUAGGGCUUUGAUCUCUCAGGUUUUGGUAAACGAGUUAUCCAGUGAAACGACUAUGAAUACUUACCAAUCGUUUGUUUCUUGUGCGGCCACUAUGGGCACAUAAAGGAGAUUUGCCCUAGAAGAGUGAUGGGACCAGACGAGUCUGAUGAAGGUAUUUCAGAGAACAUGAGUGAACAUAGGCAAAAUAUGAUGUUGAAUAUAGAAGAGGCACCGCCAAAUCUAGGCACCUAUGGCCCUUAGAUGCUAGUCGAGAAGACGGGUAGACGCACGGUGAAAACAGGAAUGAUGGACAACGGUGAAACUCAGGCAGGAACGGCGAAUAAUUUUAGGUUCUAGGUUUUGAAAAACCUAAUUAGGGAACGAAGUUUUCAGGAUCCAGCGGUUAGG